GGAAUCUUGCGCAAUGGGCGAAAGCCUGACGCAGCAACGCCGCGUGAGUGAUGAAGGUCUUCGGAUCGUAAAGCUCUUUCGGCAGGGAAGAACGGCCUCUGGGUGAACAAUCCAGGGGCGUGACGGUACCUGCAGAAGAAGCACCGGCUAACUCUGUGCCAGCAGCCGCGGUAAUACAGAGGGUGCAAGCGUUGUUCGGAAUUAUUGGGCGUAAAGCGCGUGUAGGCGGGAUGGCAAGUCGGGUGUGAAAGCCCUCAGCUCAACUGAGGAAGUGCGCCCGAAACUACCGUUCUUGAGUGCCGGAGAGGGUGGCGGAAUUCCCGGUGUAGAGGUGAAAUUCGUAGAUAUCGGGAGGAACACCAGUGGCGAAGGCGGCCACCUGGACGGACACUGACGCUGAGACGCGAAAGCGUGGGGAGCAAA
rnacentral:rRNA from 1 species